rnacentral:rRNA from 1 species
AUUGAACGCUGGCGGCAUGCCUUACACAUGCAAGUCGAACGGCAGCACGGGUGCUUGCACCUGGUGGCGAGUGGCGAACGGGUGAGUAAUACAUCGGAACAUGUCCUGUAGUGGGGGCUAGCCCGGCGACAGCCGGAUUAAUACCGCAUACGAUCUACGGAUGAAAGCGGGGGACCUUCGGUCCUCGCGCUAUAGGGUUGGCCGAUAGCUGAUUAGCUAGUUGGUGGGGUAAAGGCCUACCAAGGCGACGAUCAGUAGCUGGUCUGAGAGGAAGACCAGCCACACUGGGACUGAGACACGGCCCAGACUCCUACGGGAGGCCGCAGUGGGGAAUUUUGGACAAUGGGCGAAAGCCUGAUCCAGCAAUGCCGCGUGUGUGAAGAAGGCCUUCGGGUUGUAAAGCACUUUUGUCCGGAAAGAAAUCCUUGGCUCUAAUACAGGCGGGGGAUGACGGUACCGGAAGAAUAAGCACCGGCUAACUACGUG